GAUGAACGCUGGCGGCGUGCCUAAUACAUGCAAGUCGAGCGAACAGACGAGGAGCUUGCUCCUCUGACGUUAGCGGCGGACGGGUGAGUAACACGUGGAUAACCUACCUAUAAGACUGGGAUAACUUCGGGAAACCGGAGCUAAUACCGGAUAAUAUAUUGAACCGCAUGGUUCAAUAGUGAAAGACGGUUUUGCUGUCACUUAUAGAUGGAUCCGCGCCGCAUUAGCUAGUUGGUAAGGUAACGGCUUACCAAGGCGACGAUGCGUAGCCGACCUGAGAGGGUGAUCGGCCACACUGGAACUUAGACACGGUCCAGACUCCUACGGGAGGCAGCAGUAGGGAAUCUUCCGCAAUGGGCGAAAGCCUGACGGAGCAACGCCGCGUGAGUGAUGAAGGUCUUCGGAUCGUAAAACUCUGUUAUUAGGGAAGAACAAAUGUGUAAGUAACUAUGCACGUCUUGACGGUACCUAAUCAGAAAGCCACGGCUAACUACGUC
rnacentral:rRNA from 1 species